UACAGAGGGGGCAAGCGUUGUUCGGAAUUACUGGGCGUAAAGGGCGCGUAGGCGGCCUGUUAAGUCGAACGUGAAAUCCCCGGGCUCAACCCGGGAACUGCGUCCGAUACUGGCAGGCUUGAAUUCGGGAGAGGGAUGUGGAAUUCCAGGUGUAGCGGUGAAAUGCGUAGAUAUCUGGAGGAACACCGGUGGCGAAGGCGGCAUCCUGGACCAACACUGACACUGAGGAGCGAAAGCCAGGGGAGCAAACGGG
rnacentral:rRNA from 1 species